CGCGUAGGCGGUCGUGUGCGUCGGAGGUGAAAUCCCCGGGCUUAACCCGGGAGCUGCCUCCGAUACGGCAUGGCUUGAGUCCGGGAGAGGGGAGCAGAAUUCCCAGUGUAGCGGUGAAAUGCGUAGAUAUUGGGAGGAAUACCGGUGGCGAAGGCGGCUCCCUGGACCGGUUCUGACGCUGAGGCGCGAAAGCGUGGGUAGCAAACAGGAUUAGAUACCCUGGUAGUCCACGCCGUAAACGAUGGGUGCUUGGUGUCGGGGGUAUCGACCCCUCCGGUGCCGAAGCUAACGCAUUAAGCACCCCGCCUGGGGAGUACGGUCGCAAGGCUGAA
rnacentral:rRNA from 1 species